GGGGCACAUGCAGUGACUGUGGAGGUGACAGGAGCAGACGUGUGCCUUGAGAAGCUGCCCCUAAGGCAAUGUUCUCUGAGAUAUGAUACCAGCUGUUUUGUGGAGUAUUUUGCCUUGGAUCUCCUGAUAGAGAACAGGGAGUGCCGUGGUGUCAUUGCACUGUGCAUAGAGGACGGGUCCAUCCAUCACAUAAGAGCAAAGAACACUGUUGUUG
rnacentral:lncRNA from 1 species